UUGAUCCUGUUCUGUGUUCAUGAUACUUUAUAUGUUGGCAUUAUUGAGGUCCCAUAAUAAAUACACCACAUCAUUUAUCUUAACACUAAAGGAUUCCCUUGCAUAUCUUUGUAGGUUAAAGAAUUCCAUAGGCGUGAUGGUUUUGAAGUAGGCAAUGCUGACAAGAUCUUUGAAAGCACUUCAAGAGAUCAAGUAACAAGGAAAUCUGCUUGACAAAUGAAUCUGGAAAUCUGCAUGAGUACAUGGGACUAUCUAAUGUGGGUAUAAUCUUUUGCAUAUACAGAUUCAAUGAAUUUACAGAUCCAAU
rnacentral:lncRNA from 1 species